CGCAUCUGUGCAUGCAGCAUAUCAAUAAGCGGAGGAAAAGAAACUAACAAGGAUUCCCCUAGUAACGGCGAGUGAAGCGGGAAGAGCUCAAAUUUGAAAUCUUAAAGGGUUUCCCUUUACGAAUUGUAGUUUAAAGAAGUGUUUUCUGUUGAGGUUUUGGUAAAAGUUCUUUGGAAUAGGACAUCAUAGAGGGUGAGAAUCCCGUAUUUGACCCUUACUUUCAACUUUGUGAUACACUUUCCAAAGAGUCGGAUUGUUUGGGAAUGCAGUCCAAAAUGGGUGGUAAAUUUCAUCUAAAGCUAAAUAUUGGCGAGAGACCGAUAGCGAACAAGUACCGUGAGGGAAAGAUGAAAAGAACUUUGAAAAGAGAGUUAAACAGUACGUGAAAUUGUCAAAAGGGAAGCGUUUGACACCAGUGUUGUUUUUCUGAAAAUCAAUUAAAGAACUGUUUAUGCUAAGCUGUUUAGACUUUAUCAGCUAAUCUGUUUAGUUUUGAGCUUUUCCUUAAUGCACUUUUCAGUUAACAAGUCAACAUCAAUUUCUUUUGCUGUAAAAAAGCUUGAGGAAGGUGGCUUGAGAUUCGUCUUAAGUGUUUAUAGCCUCUUGCCUAUGCAGUCGGAGAGAUUGAGGUCUGCAGCGUAGCUCCUUCGGGGCUAAAUGCAUUUGUGCUAAGUUAUAGCAUUUCAUAGACAACUUGUUGACUAUGAUUUGUCUUGUAGCUUACUCGCUUAUGUUAUUUUACCUACGCUUAGGAUGUUGACAGCAGUAUAGACUGU
rnacentral:rRNA from 1 species